rnacentral:rRNA from 1 species
GACGUAGGGCGCGAGCGUUGUCCGGAUUUAUUGGGCGUAAAGAGCUCGUAGGCGGUUCGUCGCGUCGGCUGUGAAAACCCGGAGCUCAACUCCGGGCCUGCAGUCGAUACGGGCGGACUUGAGUGUUGCAGGGGAGACUGGAAUUCCUGGUGUAGCGGUGAAAUGCGCAGAUAUCAGGAGGAACACCGGUGGCGAAGGCGGGUCUCUGGGCAACUGACUGACGUGGAGGAGCGAAAGCGUGGGGAGCGAACAGGA